rnacentral:lncRNA from 1 species
UGAUUAGUCUGUACGGUGAACUGGGUUUAGGACAAUGUGGACAUGAUUAGUCUGUACGGUGAACUGGGUUUAGGACAAUGUGGACAGCUUUAGUCUGUACGGUGAACUGGGUUUAGGACAAUGUGGACAGGAUUAGCCUGUACGGUGAACUGGGUUUAGGACAAUGUGGACAUGAUUAGUCUGUACGGUGAACUGGGUUUAGGACAAUGUGGACAGGAUUAGCCUGUACGGUGAACUGGGUUUAGGACAAUGUGGACAGGAUUAGUCUGUAUGGUGAACUGGGUUUAGGACAAUGUGGACCGGAUUAGCCUGUACAGUGAACUGGGUUUAGGACAAUGUGGAUAGGAUUAGUCUGUACGGUGAACUGGGUUUAGGACAAUGUGGACAGGAUUAGCCCGUACAGUGAACUGGUUUAGGACAAUGUGGACAGGAUUAGCCUGUACAGUGAACUGGUUUAGGACAAUGUGGACAUUAUGCACCAUUAUCAUGGUAACAUGGUAACUAAGUACCCUCUGCUAAUAUGUCUGUGUAUGACACAACAGGCCUGAUGAGCAAGUACAGAGAACUGUUAAUAUAGGUUACACUACAGACAUCAUGUUAAUAUAGGUUACACUACAGACAUCAUGUUAAUAUAGGUUACAGACAUCAUGUUAAUAUAGGUUACACUACAGACAUCAUGUUAAUAUAGGUUACACUACAGACAUCAUGUUAAUAUAGGUUACAGACAUCAUGUUAAUAUAGGUUACACUACAGACAUCAUGUUAAUAUAGGUUACACUACAGACAUCAUGUUAAUAUAGGUUACAGACAUCAUGUUAAUAUAGGUUACACUACAGACAUCAUGUUAAUAUAGGUUACAGACAUCAUGUUAAUAUAGGUUACAGUACAGACAUCAUGUUAAUAUAGGUUACACUACAGACAUCAUGUUAAUAUAGGUUACAGACAUCAUGUUAAUAUAGGUUACAGACAUCAUGUUAAUAUAGGUUACCAUACAGACAUCAUGUUAAUAUAGGUUACACUACAGACAUCAUGUUAAUAUAGGUUACACUACAGAAAUGAUUUGAGGUAGUGCUGAUUGAGCUGUACAUUGUGUUAACAUUACUGUAGAACCUAUUGCAUUUUUCAAAGUCAGCCAGCCAACCACUCAGCCAGCUAGCCAUUCAGCCAUCCGGCCAGUCAGUCAGUCAGCCAGUCAAUCAGCCAUCCAGUCAGCCAGUCAGUCAGUCAGUCAACCAGUCAGUCAGCCAGUCAAUCAGCCAUCCAGUCAGCAAGUCAGCCAUCCAGUCAGCCAGUCAGCCAUCCAGUCAGCCAGUCAGCCAGCCAGGUCAGUCAGUCAGUCAGUCAGCCAUCCAGUCAGCCAGCCAGUCAGUCAGUCAGUCAGUCAGCCAUCCAGUCAGCCAGUCAACCAGUCAGCCAGCCAACCAGUCAGCCAGCUAGCCAUUCAGCCAUCCGGUCAGUCAGUCAGCCAGUCAAUCAGCCAUCCAGUCAGCCAGUCAGUCAGUCAGCCAGUCAAUCAGCCAUCCAGUCAGCAAGUCAGCCAGCCAGUCAGCCAGUCAGCAAGUCAGCCAGCCAGCCAGCCAGUCAGUCAGCCAUCCAGCCAGCCAGUCAGUCAGUCAGUCAGUCAGUCAGUCAGUCAGCCAUCCAGUCAGCCAGUCAACCAGUCAGCCAGCCAUCCAGUCAGACAGUCAGACAGUCAGUCCUCCUACUUUAUCACCUUAGGUCAGGUCUUACCACCAGGAAC